rnacentral:misc_RNA from 1 species
GAUGAAGAACGUAGCGAAAUGCGAUACUUGGUGUGAAUCGCAGAAUCCCGUGAACCAUCGAGUCUUUGAACGCAAGUUGCGCCCGAAGCCAUCAGGUUGAGGGCACGUCUGCCUGGGCGUCACAUAUCGUUGCCCAAUGCCUAUUGCAGUGCAAUAGGAAUUUCUAGGGCGAAUGAUGGCUUCCCGUGAGCGUUGUUGCCUCGCGGUUGGUUGAAAAUCGAGUCCUUGGUAGGGUGUGCCAUGGUAGAUGGUGGUCGAGUUAGAACGAUACCGAUCAUGUGCAUGCUCCCCAAAAUAUGGCCUCUAUGACCCACACGCGUCUUUUGACGCUCAUGACGAGACCUCAGGUCAGGCGGGGCUACCCGCUGAAUUUAAGCAUAUCAAUAAGCGGAGGA